AGUAUCCGUUUGUUAUUAAAUAUGGGCCUCGUGCUCAUCCUGGCAACAGGAACGACCAUAAAGAAGCCGUCGAGAGAUAUCGGAAGAGUUUUCUUUUCUGUUUUAUAGCCGUACUACCAUGGAAGUCUUUCGCAGAGAGAUAUGGUAGAUGGGCUAGAAGAGCAUGACAUAUACUGUUGUGUCGAUAUUUUCUCCUCGGACCUUGAAAAUUUAUGGUGGGGACACGCAAACUUCUCAACAGGCCGUACCAAUAUCCGCAGCUGGUCUCCAAGGUGAAGAGUCUCUAGUCGAUAGAAUAAUGUAGGUAAGGGAAGUCGGCAAAUUAGAUCCGUAACUUCGGGAUAAGGAUUGGCUCUGAAGAUUGAGAUAGUCGGGCUUGAUUGGGAAACAAUAACAUGGUUUAUGUGCUCGUUCUGGGUAAAUAGAGUUUCUAGCAUUUAUGUUAGUUACUUGUUCCCCGGAUAGUUUAGUUACGUAGCCAAUUGUGGAACUUUCUUGCUAAAAUUUUUAAGAAUACUAUUUGGGUUAAACCAAUUAGUUCUUAUUAAUUAUAACGAUUAUCAAUUAACAAUCAAUUCAGAACUGGCACGGACUUGGGGAAUCCGACUGUCUAAUUAAAACAAAGCAUUGUGAUGGCCCUAGCGGGUGUUGACACAAUGUGAUUUCUGCCCAGUGCUCUGAAUGUCAAAGUGAAGAAAUUCAAGUAAGCGCGGGUCAACGGCGGGAGUAACUAUGACUCUCUUAAGGUAGCCAAAUGCCUCGUCAUCUAAUUAGUGACGCGCAUGAAUGGAUUAACGAGAUUCCUACUGUCCCUAUCUACUAUCUAGCGAAACCACAGCCAAGGGAACGGGCUUGGAAUAAUUAGCGGGGAAAGAAGACCCUUUUGAGCUUGACUCUAAUCUGGCAGUGUAAGGAGACAUAAGAGGUGUAGAAUAAGUGGGAGAUAUUAGACCUCGGUUUGGUAUCGUCAAUGAAAUACCACUACUCUUAUUGUUUCCUUACUUACUUGAUUAAAUGGAACGUGUAUCAUUUCCUAGCCAUUAUACGGAUAUAUUUAUUAUAUCUUAUGGUAUUGGGUUUUGAUGCAAGCUUCUUGAUCAAAGUAUCACGAGUUUGUUAUAUAAUCGCAAACAAAUUCUUUAAUAAAACGAUGCAUUUAUGUAUUUUUGAUUUGAAAAUUUGGUAUAACUCCAAUUACUCAGGUAUGAUCCAAUUCAAGGACAUUGCCAGGUAGGGAGUUUGACUGGGGCGGUACAUCUCUCAAAUAAUAACGGAGGUGUCCCAAGGCCAGCUCAGUGCGGACAGAAACCACACAUAGAGCAAAAGGGCAAAUGCUGACUUGAUCUCGGUGUUCAGUACACACAGGGACAGCAAAAGCUCGGCCUAUCGAUCCUUUUGGUUUAAAGAGUUUUUAACAAGAGGUGUCAGAAAAGUUACCAUAGGGAUAACUGGCUUGUGGCGGCCAAGCGUUCAUAGCGACGUCGCUU
rnacentral:rRNA from 1 species